rnacentral:rRNA from 1 species
CACGUAGGGGGCGAGCGUUGUCCGGAUUUAUUGGGCGUAAAGAGCUCGUAGGCGGCUUAGUAAGUCAGGUGUGAAAACUCCAGGCUCAACCUGGAGACGCCACUUGAUACUGCUGUGGCUAGAGUCCGGUAGGGGAGCAUGGAAUUCCUGGUGUAGCGGUGAAAUGCGCAGAUAUCAGGAGGAACACCGGUGGCGAAGGCGGUUCUCUGGGCAUUACCUGACGCUGAGGAGCGAAAGUGUGGGGAGCGAACAGG